UACGUCCUUAGUGUAGUGGUAACACGCUAGUCUCCAAAACUAGUAUCCUUGGUUCAAAUCCAAGAGGGCGUGCCAU
rnacentral:tRNA from 1 species